rnacentral:rRNA from 1 species
UACGUAGGGUGCGAGCGUUAAUCGGAAUUACUGGGCGUAAAGCGUGCGCAGGCGGUUUUGUAAGACAGGUGUGAAAUCCCCGGGCUUAACCUGGGAACUGCAUUUGUGACUGCAAGGCUAGAGUGUAGCAGAGGGGGGUAGAAUUCCACGUGUAGCAGUGAAAUGCGUAGAUAUGUGGAGGAACAUCAGUGGCGAAGGCGGCUUCCUGGCUUAAAACUGACACUGUGGCGCGAAAGCGUGGGUAGCAAACAGG